GCACUGCUGACGAGUCCCAAACAGGACGAAAAGGUUGACCAGUGC
rnacentral:hammerhead_ribozyme from 1 species